AAACCUUCAAGCAUUGCUUGGUGUUGGGCCUUGUUCCGCUUUGUGCGAACUCGCCCUGAAUACAUUGGCAACCAGCAAUUGGGUGUUGGAGCGCAGCACAUUUUGCGUUCCUAGCCAUAGUAGCCGGUGUCCAGAAAGCUUAUUUUAACG
rnacentral:misc_RNA from 1 species